rnacentral:rRNA from 1 species
CCCUUAGAUGUCCGGGCUGCACGCGCGCUACACUGUAGAAAGCAGCGUGCUUUAAAACCUUUCCUGAAAAGGAUGGGUAACCCCAGCAAAAUUCUACGUGCUUGGGAUAGAGAUUUGCAAUUUUCUCUCUUGAACGAGGAAUUCCCAGUAAGUGCGAGUCAUCAGCUCGCGUUGAUUACGUCCCUGCCCUUUGUACACACCGCCCGUCGCUACUACCGAUUGGGAAAAUUUUAGAGAGUCCUGGACUGAUGAUUGUUCGGCUUCACGGCCUUACUUUCGUCGGGAAAGAAUUCGAUAAUAUUUUUCUAGAGGAAGUAAAAGUCGUAACA